UGCGUAGGCGGGCUAAUAAGUCAGUGGUGAAAUCUUCCGGCUCAACCGGGAACCUGCCAUUGAUACUGUUAGUCUUGAGUUCGGCUGAGGUAGGCGGAAUGUGUAAUGUAGCGGUGAAAUGCUUAGAUAUUACACAGAACACCAAUUGCGUAGGCAGCUUACUAGACCGACACUGACGCUGAGACACGAAAGCGUGGGGAGCGAACAGGAUUAGAUACCCUGGUAGUCC
rnacentral:rRNA from 1 species